rnacentral:lncRNA from 1 species
GUUGCAGGACACUGUAUUAAAAAAAAAAAAAAAGGAUUCUAGGUGCCAAAAUAACUGGGAGUGCCAGCAGCUGUUCUGGGACCUCUACGUUAGCAUGCCUGCAUGUGGAGAGCCCAUUUUCCUCAUGGCUACAUCUGGAGGAGGGAGUGCUGCACAGCAUUUUCAUGGUUCCUUGGGGAAAGACAAGGAAAGGUCCCGGUAUUACUGGAAACUUCAUGCAGACAAAUCCCAAAUGUGUGCAGAGGGGGUCUCAGUCAGCUUGGGGAAAUGACCCAGCGACAGCUGUAGCAGGAUUGGGCUCCAAGUAAGGGCACAGGAGAAGUGAAAAGGGAGAAAAGGUGGUAAUCAUUACACACAUAUCAGGAGACAUUUGUAUCAACAGUCUGGAUUCUCUGCUCUCAUACCCUCAAAAUCCUACCAAAAACAUUGCAGGCAGGAGCAGAGUCAUACAGGUACAAUUUAUGGCAGAAUUUGG